rnacentral:ncRNA from 2 species
GCGUAUGCCUUAGCGCGAGACCUUGCAGGAGCGUACUGCAAGGGGACGAGGAAGAGGUUGUCGAACAUUCAGCGGAUGCCUCUCGGCUGCAUCGGUCGUAAAAAGCUGCAAAGCCCCUUGGUGACGAGGGGGACAAGGUAGUUCAUAAGAUGGG